rnacentral:rRNA from 1 species
GACGAACGCUGGCGGCGUGCUUAACACAUGCAAGUCGAGCGAGGUCCAACCGGUGGCAACACCGGGGAAGACCUAGCGGCGAACGGGUGAGUAACACGUGAGCAACCUGCCCCGAAGACUGGGAUAACACCGGGAAACCGGUGCUAAUACCGGAUGUCCUCCUCUGGUCGCAUGGCCUAGGGAGGAAAGACUGUAUCUAAUACAUGCAGUUUGCUUCGGGAGGGGCUCGCGGGCUAUCAGCUUGUUGGUGGGGUAACGGCUCACCAAGGCGACGACGGCUAGCUGGUCUGAGAGGACGACCAGCCACACUGGGACUGAGACACGGCCCAGACUCCUACGGGAGGCAGCAGUGGGGAAUCUUGCGCAAUGGGCGAAAGCCUGACGCAGCGACGCCGCGUGAGGGAUGACGGCCUUCGGGUUGUAAACCUCUUUCAGCUCCGACGAAGCGAGAGUGACGGUAGGA